rnacentral:rRNA from 1 species
UACGUAGGGUGCAAGCGUUAAUCGGAAUUACUGGGCGUAAAGCGUGCGCAGGCGGUUUUGUAAGUCUGUUGUGAAAUCCCCGGGCUUAACCUGGGAAUGGCGAUGGAGACUGCAAGGCUAGAGUUUGGCAGAGGGGGGUAGAAUUCCACGUGUAGCAGUGAAAUGCGUAGAGAUGUGGAGGAACACCGAUGGCGAAGGCAGCCCCCUGGGUCAAAACUGACGCUCAGGCACGAAAGCGUGGGGAGCAAACAGG